GAUGAACGCUGGCGGCGUGCCUAAUACAUGCAAGUCGAGCGAACGGACGAGAAGCUUGCUUCUCUGAUGUUAGCGGCGGACGGGUGAGUAACACGUGGAUAACCUACCUAUCAGACUGGGAUAACUUCGGGAAACCGGAGCUAAUACCGGAUAAUAUUUUGAACCGCAUGGUUCAAAAGUGAAAGACGGUCUUGCUGUCACUUAUAGAUGGAUCCGCGCUGCAUUAGCUAGUUGGUAAGGUAACGGCUUACCAAGGCAACGAUGCAUAGCCGACCUGAGAGGGUGAUCGGCCACACUGGAACUGAGACACGGUCCAGACUCCUACGGGAGGCAGCAGUAGGGAAUCUUCCGCAAUGGGCGAAAGCCUGACGGAGCAACGCCGCGUGAGUGAUGAAGGUCUUCGGAUCGUAAAACUCUGUUAUUAGGGAAGAACAUAUGUGUAAGUAACUGUGCACAUCUUGACGGUACCUAAUCAGAAAGCCACGGCUAACUACGUG
rnacentral:rRNA from 1 species